rnacentral:rRNA from 1 species
CAGCAGCCACGGUAAUACGGAGGGGGCUAGCGUUGUUCGGAAUUACUGGGCGUAAAGCGCACGUAGGCGGCUUGGUAAGUUAGAGGUGAAAGCCUGGAGCUCAACUCCAGAAUUGCCUUUAAGACUGCCGAGCUAGCAGGUGAGAGAGGUAAGUGGAAUUCCGAGUGUAGAGGUGAAAUUCGUAGAUAUUCGGAAGAACACCAGUGGCGAAGGCGGCUUACUGGCUCAUACUGGACGCUGAGGUGCGAAAGCGUGGGGAGCAAACAGGAUUAGAUACCCCAGUAGUCCCUGUCUCUUAUAA